CAAUAGAAGCCGUUCCACUGAAGAUGGUUGCUAAGAAUGGAAUGGAGAAAAGAAUGUAAUAUGCAAUGUGUUCUGCAAAUGGAUGGAUUACAGCUGCCAGCAAUCAACGCAAAAAAAAAAUGUUAUUGUCAGGAACCAGGUUUAUUACAGCAUAAAGUCCUGAACAAGGGAAAAUCAAGGAGUUGCCUGUGGUAGAAUCCUAGAAGUUCCAGUAAAUCCAUGUGAUUUACUUGCAGAUCAAACCAUUGGGACUCCAGGAUCCAUUUGGGGAUCCAAAUCCAAUAAUUUAUCAGGAGUCAACUAUAUAUGGAGCAAAAUUGGCACCAGUCGACGAGGAGGUCAUAAGUGCAAGGCAAGCCUUCAACAUGGAUGCUGAAAGAGUGGGGAGUAAGCAAGCAAGCAUUUCACGAGAAAAACGACUUUUAUUUUAUGGUUUUUCUAUUGAGUGCCCAUGGGCACUCUAUAAGAAAGGAGAGAGAUAGAGAGAAGCCUAUGCAUCUUGACGGGAGCUAGUGUUGGAAAAAGGGGGUAGACCCAUACCUUAUCCCCGUCGUUGCCGACCUCCGGUGAGGUCGAACAGAGAAGAUGAGCUCAGACGAGCUCGCGGAGGGCUACAGGCGAGCUCGAGGUCCAAUCGGCGAACUCGAGCGAGAAGAGAUAGGGGGCCCAUGAACUAUUCAUUUCUCUCUCUCUCUCCUCUCUUAUAGAGUGCCCAUGGACACUCUAUAGAAAAACCGUUUAUUUUAUGCCGAGAAAUGUGCUUAUUGAUUAUCCAUGUAGUUUAUUGUGCUCCACUAACUAAAUAUUCGAAGAGUAUUUUUUUUAGUAGCCCAUAUACCUGAAGAGUAACGCUGAAGGUAACCCUCUAGUUUAUUGGACUUAUGAAUUCUUUUUCUUCCAUUUUUUAAGUUUAAACCCUUAAUUAAUUCUAGAGAAUAUUAUGUCAAGUCUCUCUUUUUUUAAAUCCCUCCCCCUUAAUGGACGGAUACAUGUGUUUGUCACUGAAAUUUGUGAAGUAAUGAUUAAAUCUGUAUUAUUAUGUCAAAGUCAUUUUCCUUGAAAUUAGAAAUACUCACGUGAAUUGAUUACCCACAUUAGGGGGC